CCCUCUUGCAUUAGGUUGGAUCCCUUUGAGCUCUUCAGCAUGAGCCCUGUUGCCAGUUUCAGGACAAUUCUGACCUGAGGGGCAGCUCCUUUGGGAAGCCACUGCUUGCUCUGGCUCCUGCUGCAAAUUCUUGGUCACCCGAGGUCUGUGUGUCCCGCUUGGCUGGAACAGCUCUGCCCUGGCCUCUUUGGUGUGGUUUGAUUUCCUCUCUCCCCUCUCUUGAGUGGAGAAGGGACCCUCUCCAUCCAACCCACCACCCAAGUUGCACAGGGAAGGAGAAACAGCAGAUCCAAAAGCUGCCUGGGGAGGAUGAAUGUGCAACUCAAUCAUGCAGAGGAAGCCCAAGAUGAUACAGAAUGGGAUUUUUUGACUCUAAGCCAGGAAGUUACUCAGCCAUGCUGCUCCUGUCUGCUUUCCUCCUGCAAAGGCUCUGCGUGGUGCCCAGGGAGGCACAGAUGUAGGGAUGCUUCCAUUUGCCAUCAGCUACUUCUGGAAGAGGAUAUGCAGGAGACUAAAAAUGUCAGUGCUCCUGGAGGAGGAGCAGGACUGGAAUCCCAUCUGGAGCUUGCAGAGCAGUGUUCAGAGUUGAGGGGGAUGGCACUGAGAGCACCUUGUUCCUUCAUUUCAUCACAUCUGACCAGGAGACCAGGGCAGGGAGGUGAAGACCAACCUGCCUCAAAAACACCGUUUAAGGGCUUUCAGUUCUGGAGCUCAUCCAAAAACAAGAGGCCUUUUCUUCGCUUUAUUCAGCAUUGCCACGACUCGGUUGCCAAGGCAUCAGCCUUUGAUUCCUGCAGUUUGGCUCUCACCAGUGAUGCCCCACACAUCCCAUCUGAUUCCUGCAGUUUGGCUCUCACCAGUGAUGCCCCACACAUCCCAUCACUGUCUGGUGAAUGCAGCCACCCCAGCAUGGACCCUGCAGCCGAUGGCACCGUGUCCCCAGGGUGGGACAUCUGCCCUUGGGGUCUCUUUCCUGACAUCAGGACCUGCCUUCAAGCCUGAUUUUUCAAAGGCUAAAAUGCAGGCGGAAAAUACUCUGGAAAAAUAUUUUGUCAGAACUUGUGCAUUUGUGGCUGUUCAACCAAAAUCAGCUUAAUUCUCUGGCCGAAUGGAAGGGCUGGUUGAGAAGAUCCUGAGGCUCAUGAAGCCCUUGAUGGGGCAGGAGCAAAGCUGUGGCUGUUGUAAACUCUCCUGUCUGCUCACUCUCCCAGCCACACCACCUUCACCCCCUGAAGCACAUCUGUCCUCCAGCACCGUGGGAUUUCUGGAAAAACAGUGUCUCAUUGCAUAACCCCUGUCCUGAGUCAAUCACUUGUUCAAGGUCUGAGCUGAUCUUGGGUAUGAGACCUCUAAGCCCCUCAUCCCUGCACUGCUGCUGAAACUGCCAUUAUUUAUUAAUAGCUCUGAAUCCAGGCGUGAUCCAUGGAAAAAGAUGUUUCUCCUUUUCUGGUUUUCCACCAGAAAAGAAAAAAAACUGUUUUAGACUGCACAGCAUGCCAAGGGAAAAGAGUGGAGGGAAGCAAGUUGGGAAGGGACAGAGAGUGAAUCUUGAUGCCUUUAAGUCACUCAGAUGAAGUUCAUUUCUCCUUGUCUGUACAAGGUUGGACUCUUUGCAUUUUCAUGGUAAAUUUGUUUACCGAGCCGUUGUUGAAAUUCUGGAAGCAGAGAAAAUGCAUUUGCUCCAUAACCUUUCCGGAUCUGACAAGUCCUAUAAAAUCUAUUAAAGCCUUUAAUGAAAUCCCCGCUCGGAGCCAGCUCCCAUGAAUGAAUGUGGAAUCGGAAUUUAAAUUAAAAUGUUGUUUUUGUAGUCUGUGGGCUUUAGCCUUGACAGAAAUUAAAGGGACAGUUCACAUUUUGGGGUCUGUCUCUUUCUCCCUGUAGUUUUUUACUGCCAUCCUUGCAGAGGAUGGGUGUUUGAAGCUCUUUUCCUCCUGCUGAGCCUGUGGCCAGUUGUGAGCACUCAGCUGCAAGAGCAAAACCUGCUAUACUGAAUAAUUUUAAU
rnacentral:lncRNA from 1 species